UCCCUGGUGGUUCAGUGGUUAGGACUCAGCCCUUUCACAGCUGGAGGCCUGGGUUUGACCCCUGGUCAGGGAA
rfam:Ovis aries breed Texel chromosome 1, whole genome shotgun sequence.